UGGCUCUUUCUUAUAGCUGCAGACACACACCGCUGGAGAGAACAGACACUACUGUGGAUAGACAGCAUGGAGAGGACAAAAUCUGUGUGCAGUAAUCCUUCAAGGCUGGUCCACUGCUUGAUUUGUCAAAAGCCCCAGACCAAAAUUGAACACCAUUUAAGAAAUGCGUACUUACGGGAUGCAGAGGAUGCCUGUAUCCAGGAAGAAGUCUUGAGGGCCAAGGAGUCACAAGAGAAGUGGACAAGAGAGGGGAGGAUUAUGAAUUUUUCUGAGGUCAGGAAAUUGGUUAGUAAGGACCCGUCUUGUGACUCCUUGGCAGAUUAUUUCUGGUCAAAGGGAUUCCUCAAAGACAAGCACAACAGGAGUCUGAAAUCCUUGCUCUUGCAGAGGAGGACAUGGAUGAGGUGUCCGACUGCCUCGGCCAACAUAAAGAGAUCCCUCCAAAGACCAAGACAGACUUACGGAGCUUCUGCUUUGCCACAAUGAUGUGGGCUCAUCACCUGGGUCCUACAAGCAUUAAAGAGUUGAAGAUGAGCUCACCACCAACAUAUUUUAGAUGUGUUCAAACACAAAUAUAUUAUACCUUAUCUUUUCUGUCUUAAAUAGCUGGGAUCUUUUUUCACAAUUAAAAGAACAAUACUUACAUUUCCAAUGCAUGCCUUCCUGUCCAAGUUUAUUGUUAGAAAGCAUCCAGCUGUGUUUGCAUUUAUACAUGCAUUCAGCGUAUUCUAUUUUACACAAUGGCUGUAUCAAAAUAAAACUUGAUUUUUUUUUUUUUUUAAAGUUAAGUUUAAAAUUCACUCACCAGAUCAAUUAAACUAUGGUCGUCCUGUCACACUGUCUGCUCCACUGGAACCACAGUAUGUGUCUAACUCCAAAAGGGUAAUUGGGUACUACCACAAGCUGGUAACAAAAAUCAACUAAUUAGCUGUAUGGCAUUAGGGACAGGGCCCGAAUUGAGAGGGAUGCGGUGGGGAUGGCAUCCCCCUUGUUAAAGAAAAUGGCAACAAGUAUCCCCUCGGUAAAACCACCAUCCCUGAUUAUCAUCCCCUUUAGAUUAAAAAUGAUGUGUAUACUGUAAAACCUACUGUGCAAAUUGAUGAAAUUCUCUACUUAUAAUAAUUUAUAAACUAAAUAACUGUAAUUGGCCAAUCAGAGCUCGGUAUUAACGAGCUGUGCGCUUGCUCAGGCAUGUUGUCAUCAUUUUUCGUGCAAAUGUGUCAAGCACAACUUCUUUAAAAAGAAGACAACAUAAUAAGGUAUGCCAUUUCAUUUAUUAGAUUUUAAAGUGCCCCUAUUAUGCCUUUUCAAAUAUGAUCUUUCAUGCAGUGUGUCAUGUAGCUGUAUGUGAACAUAAACUAUCUGCAAAGUUGUGAAGCCGACAGUGCAUGAUAAAUAAAGUUAUUGUCUAUCAAAAAAA